ensembl:lncRNA
CCCCAGAGAAUAGUUCACACUCCCUUGCUUCCUCUUACAGUGGAGAAGACAAAAGAUUAACUCUUCCUGUGUGAACGCCUGCUUCCAACUUCCUGAGAUACCUUAUGUUAGCGGCAUGAAUGUGUGAGACAUUGAGGCAUGCUAAAAUCCCGUGGCACCAAAGUAUUGUACAAUAAAAUAAUCUGAAUAAUACAUAAAUAUAAAUAAAAGAUAUUCCUUUACACAGUAUAGGUACAUAAUACUCCACAGGCCGUAACACUGUAAUAUAAAUAAAAUGAUAAAUGAUCACUUUAAAUGAUAAAAAUGAUAAUCACAUAAUAAGAAAAAGCAAAGUGAAAAAUAAAUGUUAUCCACAUUAACUAAAUUAAAAAUGAUGUUUAUCUUUUGAUAAUGUAACACAGCCUUUGUCCCAACCAGGACUGAACCUGCGCUCAGACGGUGCGAUUUGAUUGGCUGAUUCUCCGUUACACCCAUACGCGAUGGGCCCUUAUCAGAUGAAAGUACAAAACUAUCAAGAACCCCCCUCCUUGCACUGGUUGCAUAAAUUUCAGGUGGCAUUUUUAAAACAUGCCAUGACAUAACACACAGCUGCUAUAAUCACAAAGGGGG